UGUUUUAGUUAAUGUCUAAAGUGUUUAGUUCACGUCUAAAUGUUUUAGUUCACGUCUAAAGUGUUUAGUUAAUGUCUAAAGUGUUUAGUUCACGUCUAAAGUGUUUAGUUAAUGUCUAAAGUUGUUAGUUCACGUCUAAAGUGCUUAGUUAAUGUCUAAAGUGUUUAGUUCACAUAUAAAGUGUUGGAAUGGAAGCCUGGUGCUCUGUUCUCCUCGGGAACUCAGCAAUCACACUCAGGUCUGAGAGUGAAGUCUUCCAAGUGAGAAAGUGAUUCGAAUCGUCUCUUCUACAGGAAAUUAAUCAAUCGUGCCCUGUAUUUUGGGUUGCAGCAAUUUUUUUCCUGUUGCAGUAAUGACACGUAUUCUGGAGAUUUGGAGCAACGAUACAAAAAAAAAGACAAUAACUCUGGAUGUGAUGCAUAAAAUGUGUUAAACUAGUUAUUUAUAUAAUUGUGUUAGAGUUUCCUCAUUGUUCGCGCUUUGGUGAUUUUUGUGAUUUCUGCACAAUAAUUAAAGAAUUAUUUUUCCUUUUCCGGUUGCCAAAUUCUGCCCUAUGAAUUAUUAUUAUUAUUUUUUUUUUACACUUAUUACACUUAUUUUAAUGACAAUUUUGCACAAUCAAGAUAGAAAUAUCAACCCACACCUUAACAGCCAUCUUGAGAUACAUCCGAUCUAAAGACUUUAAUCACAGCGCAUUCAAGUGUAUACAAGUGUUAAUAGCUAAACAGUAACGAAAAGCCCGUUGACGUCCCCACAAAGUGACAAAUACAGGUGGAAAUUCAGGAUCCAGGAUUGUGUUUACUUCAUACUUUAUGUCUGUACUUUAUAGUAAAUGAAGGUAAUUCUUAAUAAUUAGUGUUGUUUUUGUAAUUAUAUUGAAAUCUGAUCCGAUGAAAUAUGCUUUGGAUCUUCUAAGAAUUAAAAAUCCAGUCGUAUAAACACGGUCACACCACUGACAGUCAAAUGUGUUGAGCCAGUAAUGAAUUUCCACAAAUUCUACAUUUUAUGUGAAGAGGAAGCACGUAAUAAACAGGAAACGCUCCACACAUAUCAGUUGUAAUAUUACUAAUUCAUAACUGUAUUAUUUUCACAAGACUGAAGAGGAAAGCUUCGCGGAUAUUUAACAUUGAUGCAGAACUUUUGUUGUGUCUGAUCUUUCAUUUCCGCCUAGAAAUUAGAAAAUGAAGAGUAUACCCGUGACGCUGAAGGAGAGAAAAAAAAGAAUCCUAUCAUAAUAAAUCUCUGACGGACAGGAAAUGAGCAGCUGGAGCGUCUCAAAAGGGCUGAAUUGAAAGACCCUGAAACACUAAAUCCCCAAAACGUUUCCCCACGAGGAUAAAAAUGGCCACUUGGGAUUAUUUGUAAAGAUUUUUCUGCUCUUCUGGAAGCUCCUUGCGCUCUCCUGUAAAAGCCCUGGAUCCUGGGAGUACUCAGAGUAAUCGGUUCCUUUUUUGUGCCUGCUUGGCCGUGUGUACAUCAGGCUGAGCCUGCUGGAGAUGGAAUAUUUCAUGCUCUGACACUCGGAUCUGCUGAACUAUGGAUUAUGGGAGAUCUGUGAUUGCCCUCCGUUGGUUGAUGUACCUGUGAAUCUAUUAUGGGUUCGUUACAAAUGAUGGGAGAAAGAAAAGAGCUCUGUGUAUUGUAAACUGUUAAACUGCCCAAUGUUCUUCCGAAAAAUCCUUCAGGUCCUACAUUUCACACUGAGGACAACUGAGGGACGCGUACACGACUAUUACAAAAGGUGCAAACAUUCACCGAUGCUCA
ensembl:lncRNA